rnacentral:tRNA from 1 species
CUGUUUGUGGUAUAGUGAUAACGCGCCUGUUUAGUGAAUAGAAGUCGUGAGUUCGAGUCUCAUCGAGAAGA